AUACGUAUGGUGCAAACGUUGUUCGGAAUCACUGGGCUUAAAGAGCACGUAGGCGGUUGAGAAAGUCUGGUGUGAAAUCCCUCGGCUUAACCGAGGAAUUGCACUGGAAACUUCUCGGCUAGAGUGCAGGAGGGGAGAGUGGAAUUCCUGGUGGAGCGGUGAAAUGCGUAGAUAUCAGGAGGAACGCCAGAGGCGAAAGCGACUCUCUGGCCUGCUACUGACGCUGAGGUGCGAAAGCUAGGGGAGCGAACGGGAUUAGAAACCCCUGUAGUCC
rnacentral:rRNA from 1 species